GUGCCAGCAGCCGCGGUAACACGUAGGAGGCGAGCGUUAUCCGGAUUUACUGGGUGUAAAGCGCGUGUAGGCGGUUUGGAUAGUUGGAUGUGAAAGCUCCUGGCUUAACUGGGAGAGGUCGUUCAAUACUUCCAGACUAGAGUGUGAGAGAGGGAGGUGGAAUUCCGGGUGUAGUGGUGAAAUGCGUAGAUAUCCGGAGGAACACCAGUGGCGAAAGCGGCCUCCUGGCUCACUACUGACGCUCAGACGCGAAAGCUAGGGUAGCAAACGGGAUUAGAGACCCCGGUAGUCCUAGCCGUAAACGAUGCAAACUUGGCGUUGGUGGGUUCAAAUCCAUCAGUGCCGGAGCUAACGCGUUAAGUUUGCCACCUGGGGACUACGGCCGCAAGGUUAAA
rnacentral:rRNA from 1 species